rnacentral:rRNA from 1 species
UACGUAGGGGGCUAGCGUUGUCCGGAUUCAUUGGGCGUAAAGGGUUCGUAGGCGGCGGGGCAAGUCAGGUGUGAAAUCUCGGGGCUCAACCCCGAAACUGCACUUGAUACUGCCUUGCUCGAGUACUGGAGAGGAGACUGGAAUUUACGGUGUAGCAGUGAAAUGCGUAGAUAUCGUAAGGAAGACCAGUGGCGAAGGCGAGUCUCUGGACAGUUACUGACGCUGAGGCACGAAGGCCAGGGGAGCAAACGGG